UGCGUAGGUGGCCUAACAUGUCAACUGUGAAAACCCGGAGCUCAACUCCGGACUUGCAGUUGAAACUGGUAGGCUUGAGGACGGUAGAGGAAGACGGAACUGCCAGUGUAGGGGUAAAAUCCUUAGAUAUUGGCAGGAACGCCGGUGACGAAGGUGGUUUUCUGGGCCGGUUCUGACACUGAUGCUCGAAAGCCAGGGGAGCGAACG
rnacentral:rRNA from 1 species